GAUGAACGCUGGCGGCGUGCCUAAUACAUGCAAGUCGAGCGAACAGACGAGGAGCUUGCUCCUCUGACGUUAGCGGCGGACGGGUGAGUAACACGUGGAUAACCUACCUAUAAGACUUGGAUAACUUCGGGAAACCGGAGCUACUACCGGAUAAUAUAUUGAACCGCAUGGUUCAAUAGUGAAAUACGGUUUUGCUGUCACUUAUAGAUGGCUCCGCGCCGCAUUAGCUAGUUGGUAAGGUAACGGCUUACCAAGGCGACGAUGCGUAGCCGACCUGACAGGGUGUACGGCGCCACUGGAACUGAGCCACGGUCCAGAGUCCGAGGGGAGGCACAAGUAGGGACUGUUCGGAACUGGGCGAAAGCCUGAAGGAGCAACGCAGCGUGAGUGAUGAAGGGCUUCGGAUCGGAAAACUCUGUUAUUAGGGAAGACCAAUUGUGCAAGUAACUAUGCACGUCUUGACGGUACCUAAUCAGAAAGCAACGGCUAACUACGUG
rnacentral:rRNA from 1 species